rnacentral:tRNA from 1 species
GAGGAAAAUCCGUGGGCUUUANAAA